rnacentral:tRNA from 1 species
GGACUGUGGCUCAGUGGGCAGAGCACUUGCCUAGCAUGCAUGAGUCACUGAGUUCGAUCCCCGGCACCA